GACGAACGCUGGCGGCGUGCUUAACACAUGCAAGUCGAACGGGAAGGCCCUGCUUUUGUGGGGUGCUCGAGUGGCGAACGGGUGAGUAACACGUGAGUACCUGCCCUUGACUUUGGGAUAACUUCAGGAAACUGGGGCUAAUACCGGAUAGGAGCUCCUGCUGCAUGGUGGGGGUUGGAAAGUUUCGGCGGUUGGGGAUGGACUCGCGGCUUAUCAGCUUGUUGGUGGGGUAGUGGCUUACCAAGGCUUUGACGGGUAGCCGGCCUGAGAGGGUGACCGGCCACAUUGGGACUGAGAUACGGCCCAGACUCCUACGGGAGGCAGCAGUGGGGAAUAUUGCACAAUGGGCGGAAGCCUGAUGCAGCAACGCCGCGUGCGGGAUGACGGCCUUCGGGUUGUAAACCGCUUUCGCCUGUGACGAAGCGUGAGUGACGGUAAUGGGUAAAGAAGCACCGGCUAACUACGUG
rnacentral:rRNA from 1 species